AAGUCGUAACAAGGUAACCGUAGGUGAACCUGCGGUUGGAUCAUUACUGAUUUCUUCUGUUCUUUUGGGGCUCACGCCCUAGAGGAGCGGGAUAGUCACCCCCCCCUGUGAACUUGUAACGUAUCUGGAGUUGGCUCCGCUAUUAGUGUGGAAAGGGAAUUGGGGCUACCUAGUCUUGAUUUCUGGAACACAUGAAGGGGCCUUCGCCAACUGUAUCCACACCUAGUGUUUUAUGUAUUUUAAUGUCUCCAUGCGAUUCAAUUGAGAAACGCGUAUUUAAUUAUACAACUUUUGACAACGGAUCUCUUGGCUCUC
rnacentral:misc_RNA from 1 species